rnacentral:rRNA from 1 species
CCUACGGGAGGCAGCAGUAAGGAAUAUUGGUCAAUGGAGGCAACUCUGAACCAGCCAUGCCGCGUGCAGGAAGACGGCCCUAUGGGUUGUAAACUGCUUUUGAACUAGAGAAAACCUUGGUACGUGUACCGAGUUGAUAGUAUAGUUAGAAUAAGCAUCGGCUAACUUCGUGCCAGCAGCCGCGGUAAGACGAAGGAUGCAAGCGUUAUCCGGAUUCAUUGGGUUUAAAGGGUGCGUAGGCGGACUGAUAAGUCAGUGGUGAAAUCUCUCAGCUUAACUGAGAAACUGCCAUUGAUACUGUUAGUCUAGAGUACAGAUGAUGUGGGCGGAAUAUGACAUGUAGUGGUGAAAUACUUAGAUAUGUCAUAGAACACCGAUUGCGAAGGCAGCUCACAAAACUGUAACUGACGCUGAGGCACGAAAGUGCGGGGAUCAAACAGGAUUAGAUACCCUGGUAGUCCGCACCGUAAACGAUGAUUACUCGUUGUUGGCGAUAUGACAGUCGAGCGACCGACGACGAACGAACGUAGUAAGUUAAGUUACCGUACCGUUAGGGGUUAGGUACCGGCCGGCCGGACCGGUACGGAACGUUACGAAGGAAGUUAGGACGGCGAGGAGACGACGACGACGGACGACGACGAGGGAGGUAGG